GAGAGGGAGUGCCAGCUAGCAGGAGCUCUGGGUAAACCUUUUAAAUCCAGCCUCUUAAUGGGUUGGGGACUUUUUGUUUCUUUCUUCCUUGAUUUCCCUAAAUUCAGGAUUCAACUCCUAAGCUUCCUAGUCACAAUGCAAAGGGAGUUUAGUUUUUAGAAGAACUGUAUGACUGGGUCUCCUACGUUUGGGUGGCGAUCAUGGACCAGCAGAGUUUCUCCUUACUAGUUGCUUUUAGGAUUGCUCUAACUAUCUCGGGGUUUCUAAUUCUUUUUCAAAAAUCUCAUUUUUUACCACCAAUAAAAAGCUUGUUUAGAUAUUGAUUGCCUGUUACAAAUAAUCUAUUUCUACUUCAUGGGAAAUUCAAACAGGUCAGUACCAGGGCAAUGAUUUUUAUUUUCCAUUCAGCAUCUUUCUAUGGCAUUCAUUUUAAUAAACAUCUUUCUACAGUAGCCAUCUGUGUUAAAACUACUAUCUUGGUCAAUUUCAAAGCCAUUUGGGUGGCUUUAAAAACAGGGAAUCCUAGACUUGGGAAGAGAAAAUGACAUUUCCAGGCCAAGUUCCAUGAGCACACAACUCAAAUCCAGAUGUGACAGCUGGCCACGCAAGGCCAUGCUGUCCCCAUACUCCUCCUCUUUCAUAUGCAUUGUCAUCUCAAGUUAUGGUCUCAAGUUAUGGUCUCAAAGUGGACUGAAUACUGUGAACUGGAUCUUAAUUAUGUUCCAUCUUCUAUUUCAAAGUAAACGCAGGGUGAGAUCUGUACAAGAUUUGUUGGUUCAUUUUGGUUUUCAGACGCUUUCUUCAGCUUCUUUAUCCAUUAAGACACUCAUUUCACUCACCUAUCUCAAAGGUAUUUUUAGGGUCAAAUGAGGUCUGUGAAAAGGCUCCAAGAAAGGUGAGCAUUUAUUAUUGAAGUGGGCAGAACAAUGGUCCCUCAAAAAGGCCCACAUCUGAAUCCCUAUACCCUGUGAACAGUUAGAUUAUACAGCAAAAGGGAAUUACGUUUGCAGAUGGAAUUAAGGUUACCAGUUGGCUGAUUUUAAAAGAGGAAGAUUAUCCUGGAUUAUCUAGGCAGCCCAAUGUAAUCAGAAGCAGCUUUAAAUGUAGAAGAGGGGAGCAGAAGAGUGAGUGUCAGAGGGAUGUGAUGUGAGGAAGACAUUUGCUGGCUUUAAAAAUGGAAGGGGGUAUAAGCCAAAGAAUGCAGCCACCUCUAGAAGAUGCUAAAGGAAGUUCUAUCAGAUGCCACUACGGUAGAGAUAGAGAAGCCCUAGAAAGAGUGUGGACAAGUACCACCAAAGUCACUGGGAAACAGAAUCUUUGAAAGUUCUAGGCAUUGGAUGAAUGACACAUUAGGACCUGGAAGAACCCAAAAGCGAUUUGCCACCUGCUAACAUACAUAAGACCGAAAAUAACACCAAAAGGACCUCCUUGACCUAGGACAUCUGGGCCUUUGAGUCACCAAUGGCUCUGAGACACUUACAACAAAAAUGUGGCAGAGAGAAACCCGGAAGCUCAAUGACUGAGACAAAGACCUGCAGCCACACUCCAGAGGGUGUUCGCCUCUUGGGCCCCUGUGACUGACUCACCUCAAUGGCUCAACUGCAGCACAGGGAGGAAGGACAACUAGUCGGCUCCAUGGAACCUCAAUUUUGUCACCUAUAACAAUGAUUUCUACCCAUAGGCUUGUUGUGAGGAUUAAAUAAGAUCACAGCAGGGCUAGCAGAUGCUCUUCUUCAGACCAGAGCAAAGGGCACCUUGGCCUGGCUACAUAAUAUGUAACUCUGCAUUCUGGUGUAGAAAACAGAGGUGCUAUGCAGUUACUCCUGUAACUGAAUAAGACACAAGUUCCAUUGUCCCUGAUUUUUAGUAUUUAGAAUUUUGGCUUUUUGAUUUGUCCUCAUUGCUUUGCUUGUUUAAGGAAAACAACUUCAUCGGGACCUGAGAAAAAUCCAGUACUCACAAAUGUUAAUAGCAACAUGAUAGUUUUAUAAUGCUACAAGGACAUUUGAGCUGACUUUGAAUGUCCUCUUUUCCCCUCUGGUUAGGAGCUCACAUGGACCACAUGAAAAUUCAAUUAAGCCACACAGUUUGUUUUAUAAGUGAAGUUAGUGUGGAAGGCAGUGUUGGCAUUCUUUGUGGAAACGUGUUAGCCUGGUGUGAGCACUCACAGAAGUCUCUUGUUGUCACAGGCUGGAAAAGGAACUAAAUGAGAAUGACGAUGCUCUAGGCAGUGACUUGGUUGAGAAAACUGGGCAGGAAGCAGAAACAUGGGCACUGCAUGAAGGCCACAAGUCUGUGACCUGAGACUAGCCUGCAGUAGACAGCCUUGUAAUUCUGAGUGACUUUGCCUUGAGUCAUGAGGACAAUAAAGAAGUUCCAAUGAAACAGCCUCGUAAGCCCAGAUUUAUACAGGUUUCAGUGACGAACAAUGAGGGGCCAGUGAGGGGUCAUGCCAAGGCACUGCGGCAGACUCCCCGAAGAGCGGGUGUGCCUGCCCCCACGAGCGGAUGUGGAAGGCACACACGCACCCCCAACACACACAGAUAUGCUGCCUGUUAGUCACGAGAACAACCCACUGAUUCUCAAUAAAAUCUGUGGCAUUCUCCCCA